rnacentral:rRNA from 1 species
CCUACGGGAGGCAGCAGUAGGGAAUAUUGGGCAAUGGACGCAAGUCUGACCCAGCCAUGCCGCGUGCAGGAAGAAGGCGUUAUGCGUUGUAAACUGCUUUUAUACAGGAAGAAACGACUCUUGCGAGAGGCAUUGACGGUACUGUAUGAAUAAGCACCGGCUAACUCCGUGCCAGCAGCCGCGGUAAUACGGAGGGUGCAAGCGUUGUCCGGAUUUAUUGGGUUUAAAGGGUGCGCAGGUGGUUUAUUAAGUCAGUGGUGAAAGACGGUCGCUCAACGAUUGCAGUGCCAUUGAAACUGGUAGACUUGAGUAAAGUAGAGGUGGGCGGAAUUGAUAGUGUAGCGGUGAAAUGCAUAGAUAUUAUCAAGAACUCCAAUUGCGAAGGCAGCUCACUUGGCUUUUACUGACACUCAUGCACGAAAGUGUGGGUAUCAAACAGGAUUAGAUACCCUGGUAGUCCACACUGUAAACGAUGAUAACUAGUGUGGCCGAAUCUGUCGGUGCCACNGCGAAAGCGUAAGUAUCACUGGGAGUACGCGCACGGUGAACUUAAAGGAAUUGACCGG